CCCAGUGACCCAGACAGAAGGCCCAGUUACCCUCUCUGAGGGGGCAUCUAUGAUCCUGAACUGCACUUACCAGAGCAGCUCUACAACAGGCCAAGAAACAGAGAAAUAAGAAUCCCUCACUGUAAACUGGGCACACGUUUUGGAUCCCAGGUCUGAGUCUCUAAUUGGCUUAAGGACAAUCAAAGAAGAUCCUGGGAGCUGCAUCAGUGACCCUUUAACUUCAGCUGAACUAUGAAAAUUUAUAAAGAAAAGAAUGAGAAAACCUAGGAUACAUUCCCCACAAUGUUUAUGUAUGCAAACUAUAGAGGCUCCAUGUGGCCUCUUUGAGGUUUCAGUUAAGACGUGGGAAAAAUUUAAUUUCAAAGAUUUUGUAACUUAAUGAUCCAAAGGCUUUAUCAUGCUUUUCUGAACAGGACUGAGCAGGCAAGACUAAAUGCAGAGAAGAAAGGGCCCUUCAUGGCAGGAUUCAGGGUCUGAGGGUGGGAAGGAAGGCUUCUUUCUGAAUUGAGGUUAUACACUGUGAGUUGGAAUUGACUUGACAGCAACUGUUUUUUGUUUGUUUUAUUUCCAAAUGUAAUUGUUAUUCAAUUAAAGAAGAGUUAAUCCAAAAAGAA